AGCUCCAGUAGCGUAUAUUAAAGUUGUUGCAGUUAAAAAGCUCGUAGUUGGAUUUCUGGUACGCUGCGCCUGGCCCGCCUGCGUUAGCGGUGUGAGUGUCGGUGCGCGGUUGCCAUCCUUCUAGAGAACGUGUCUACCUUUAAUUAGGCCGGAUACGCAAUCUAGAUCAUUUACUUUGAAAAAAUUAGAGUGUUUAAAGCAGGCUUUUGCUAUGAAUACAUUAGCAUGGAAUAAUAAUAUAGGACUUUGGUUCUAUUUUGUUGGUUUCUAGGACUAAAGUAAUGAUUGAUAGGGAUAGUUGGGGGUGCUAGUAUUCAGCGGCCAGAGGUGAAAUUCUUGGAUUCGCUGAAGACUAACUUAUGCGAAAGCAUUCACCAAGGAUGUCUUCUUUAAUCAAGAA
rnacentral:rRNA from 1 species